GAGCCCUCCGCCCCCGUCCGUCUCGCCGUGACGCGCGCGGCUCGCGAUAACUUCCACCAGAUAACUCCCACGUCCUACCCGCGCUCGUUCAUUGCUUUCACGAGGCCAAGGCCGCCGACGCCCCCGAGGUCGUGGUUUAGGGGUCCCCUCCCCGCCGCCGAGUACAUCGAGUCCAUGGACAGGGCCAACGCCGCAACCACAGGGCCCACCGCCGAGUCCGCGCGGGCGGGGCGCACGACUCCAUGGACAGGGCUACCUCCCCGUUCGAGGGCGACUCGCCAAUGUUGCAGUCGCAGGCCCCGCCGUCAAGUCCACCGAGCGGGGCGCACGACUCCAUGGACAGGGCCACCUCGCCGAGGAGCGGCUCCGCCACAGGCCGAUCCGACGCCGCAGCCGUAGGCCCCCGCCGCCAAGUGUGCCGAGCGGGGCGCACAUCCCUCGACGUCGCCUUCUUCGACGACCUCUCGUCGAGUUCACGACGCCAAGAAGGUCGUGCCCGACGACAAGCUUGCUCAACGCACCGGGCGCGCGCUCCAUAGUACCAGCGUGAUGUCGCACCGCCAUCCACGCUCGACGCAUCCAGCUCCUUUGGCGUCAUCUAGGUGCUCCUCUGCCCGAUCCCGGAGGUUCAAAACACCUCACCUCAAUCCAAUGUUAACAAGCUUGGAGGACAUCACCAACGCACCAUAUGCAGAUCUUCUCUCUAUUAAUUCAAUGAGGAAAGGAAAGGGGACUUAGAAAUUAGUCUUGGCAAAUGGAGGGGAACGUCUCAAUGACCGAGGCACAUUUUUUCUUGUUAGUUAGCUCAUGGUAUGUUAAAAGGUAAGGACCUCAAUCCAAUGACCAGAAUGUGUCCAUCUUUAAAAGGUAAGGAAUUGGUUAGGCUUCAUAUUGUCUCUCUUUUGAUUGGUAUGUUACAUGAUUCUUCUCCAAAAACAAAUGCAUAAUCAUGUGUUUAACAACAUUCUUGUUUAUCCUUGUCUUCGAAAAAACAGAACGUACUAAUUUUGGCCGACACCAAGAUCACUUAUUGGAAUAACUUUACUUAUGAUCAGUAGCAUUACCUUUUUUUGAUGUACAAUAUAUUGGAUGAUCAGUAGCAUGUGAGCAGUUUCUAAUAAAAAGGAAGCUGCAAUGAUAACUUACGUUCCUAAUAUGACACAUUGUGUUUUUUAACUUAUCACACUUGUUGUUAUGUGCGAGUUGUAGAGAAUUCAAACUGAGCAGAAAUCCAUGUAUUGCUGGCCACACAGGUAAUCUAUUUCCAACCCUUGCCAAUUGCCAUUGCCAUUGUAAUAUUUUUUUACGGCAGUACUAGGAAUUAUUGCAUUGGGAGACUGCUCUGCUAGAGGAAGGUUGGGGCUCACUAAAUCCUCUUUGGUCUGAUGCGAAACAAGGGGAGGGACUCAUCCUCCAUCUCCCCUCGCCACCGCGCCAGGCGUGAUGCUUCGUCUCCUCCCCCCAGGAAGCCAUUGUAGAUGGCACUGUCGGCCAAGGGCAAGGAGGUCUGCCACAGGUCCUGUGACGUCCUCGACAUCAACGCCGAUGAGUGGGGCAACGAGAAUAGGAGCAUGACCACCGAGCUCAGGGAGCAGCAGUACCGGCUCAGGAAGGCACUGGAAGACCGGGUGCAAGUCAGUAGGGAGACCGCCAAGAUGUGGCGAUGGGACAAGCUCCAUCAGAUAUGGAUUGGAGGACCUUACAAAACCCAACAAGCUCAAUUCAAAAUUCAAGAGGAAGUACUAAAGCCGAAUCGAGAUCUAAUGUGUGGGCGGAGGAGGCAAAUAAAUAGUGGGAGGUCGGGGACGCUGCGCUCUGGCCUAUGGACAUGAGACUGAAAUGUGAUCGGUCGAAUCGAGAUCUAAUGUGUGGGCGGAGGAGGCAAAGAAAUAGUGGGAGGCCGGGGACGCUGCGCGCUGGCCUAUGGACAUGAGACUGAAAUGUGAUCGGUUGUUCUGCUAUUGAUUUUUUGCACGGAUGGAAUGAGAAUUGGGUCGCCAAGGACGAGCAAUUCUGGCACAUGGCUAUGUUGGUUGUCUCAGUUGUCUUUUACAAUGCCACAUUCUCUUUCUCGGGUCCAUCUAAACAUGACUGUGGACUCAACCUAUUUUACAUUGUCUUCACAUCGAUUCUUGUUUUUUCAUUUGCUAUCAUUUCCCUGCACCCGAAGAGGUGUUACAUGAAUAUGCCAAUUUUCAAACUUGAGGCUGCGACACAGGAAUGUAUAGUAGAUAACUGAAUCACGACUCUCGAAGCUUUUUCUCAUUGGAGCCUACUGUUCCCUCCGCUAUGACUGAAGGCCCCACCAUACAAUCAGAUAAAGCAUUAGCGGGCUUGCCACAGUGGCCUUGGCCGUAGCAGCAGCACGCCACGAGCAGCGACGCCAGAGAAGAGGGAGUUCCAAAUGGCGAUUACAAUGAAGAUCAGACGACAAAAGACAUGAGCGAGUAUUAGUGUCCAAUAAACUAGGUGCUGGAAAUCCACAUGCAGCACACCUAUCAGUUUAUGUUUCAGGGCUUAUUGGCUGCUCCGCCGAGGUCAUGCAAUGGCCCUACUGGGAGCUCGACGAGAUGGACGACACACUCACCUACAGAGGGGAGCUAGGGUGUGUUGUGCAUGCCUGCGAGCUGUAGAGAAGAGGGGGCAGUCUGGAUCCGAACCCUCAGCAAGGUAUUACAUUCACCCGCUCCCCCACGCCAACGUCCUCCAGAUUUUGCAGCUCCUACUAGAGAAUGGCAUUAGAGUAAAUGAACUAACAAGGAUAGAGGUUGCUCUCGUCGUCCCAUAAGUGGUGCAGAAAAUGGCACCCAAUUACUGCCCUCGAGGUGUUGUUAGACUUAAUGGGUCACUACGCGAACAGUCAGUGUAGUUCUAUGCAUGCAUCUACAAUAACAGGUUAGUAGUAGUGUAUUUGUGCAUGGACCCCAUGUUUUCCUUUUCAUUGAAAAUUGAAAGCUUGUUCUUUUUUUACUGGAAGAUAUGGUCUCUUUUGACACCAUGAAAUGUCGUAGAUUGUCUCUCACCUCUGCUUUGCUUCAGUACCUGUCUUUUUUCCCAUGUCCCUAAAUUAUAAGCUAUGUGUGGUGUGAGCUGUGCCUGCUUCCAACACUUGGGUUAGGUUCAGUGUCAAGUAUGUAGAUUAUACUUAAGCACACGACAUGUUCUUCCUCUCCUCAUCGCAAUAUGUUGAUUGGAUUAGAUUUCAUUUUGGCAUAUUUUUAUAAUAUUUGUCUUGCUGGCAACACCAUCUGGAACCCUUUCGUGAACCAGCAUGAGUGGACAACACUGGUGGGUAGCCACAUGCACAAAAAAGGAAAAAAUGGUCUUUUUCCUUCAUGAUUUAAUUAUUGUGCCUUCACAUACAUAGGGUUGAAAUUGUCCUCCAUUAAAACUCUUUUGGUAUACAUGCAUACUGAGAAGUUGUCAUAUUUUCUAUAAUUUUAUAACUACUAAUUAUCGAAUAAUGUCUUAGGGACCGUCUGUUUCCCUUCACUUUGAGAAUUGAAAUCUAAGUAAUGGAAUAGGCUAUCUUUUUAAAAUGUGACAUUCCAUAACUACCUGCAUUCUUUAUUUGACCGACAAUCUUAUAAAAGUGUAUGUAGAUAUGUAUGUAGAUGUUUAUGUAGAUGUGGAUGCAUUCUUCUAUACGAGCUCCCCUCUAGCAUGUAACUUGUGUAAAACCUCAAGAUAGUGAGUUAUAUUUUGUCUUGAUUAUUGUACAGGGCUACAUGCAUGUUGUUUCAUUACUAAGAGAGAGGAAACAUAGCAGUAGCACACAAGUUUUUCUUGAUUAUUGGUAUAUUCAGAUCAGUGCUAUAUUGCUAAGUUUUUUUAUUAUUGGUAUACUCAGAUCAGCACUUAAAAGAAUCACAGACUUAAAUCACAUUGUAGAGAGUUAUAUUCAGAUCUGCACUUGCUUUUUUCAUGCAAUGUACUCAUAGCAGUAGCACUUAAAUCAUUUCAGUGACUCAUUCCAUGACUUAAAUAUAUAUUUUUAGAUUACUUCUCGUUUCUUGCUACAUGUUUACGCGCUAGCUGUUUAAGUGCAUCUGGUCGACCUUCUUUUUAUGAAGUGCUUUUCAUUGACUGCUUUUGUGUUACCUGUUUACGCGCUAGCUGUUUAAGUUGCACAGGCGCGAGACAAAUGGGGUCGUAGCGCCAUCGUUUUGUUGUCGCGUGGUCAUGAUAUUCCAUCGGCGAACAUCGACAACUCUGCCACGCACAUGAGUAUUUGUGUUCAACCUUUAAUGGUGGAUCUGUUUUUUUAGAAAUGUGUCAAGAGAGUUGAGAAUGAUGAUACUGGUCACCAAAACUGCAUUGGGUAAUAUUUUGAUUACUGGUCAUGCAUCGACAAAUGUGUAAGUAUAAGUACUUAAUUCCAGCUUGCACUUCACCAUUUGUCAUUGUCAAGCUAGAAAUAACAAAUUUUCUAUGAAACAUGCCUCUGCAGGUAGCACCAAAGCUCUUUAAGAAGCUCAAAUCAUUUAUGCGAUGUGAGGCGACUUUUAACAAAGUGAAUCGAAUUUGCAUACCUUACACCUUUGAAAAGUGUCUGAACUCGUACAUCUUGGAAUAAAACAACAAUUUUUUGUUGACAGCAUGUGUGUUUCUUUGGAUUGUGCAUAAAUUUCCUGUGCAUGAAUCUGGUGUCAAUCUUGCUCUUUUACGUGCUAUUUUGUGAGAAAAUAUAUUAUCAAAUACUUUUUCUAUAAAGAGAAUGAACCUAGGUCUUUUUGUUUUGCCAUCUUCAGAAGCUCGAGUCGUCCACUGGUGGCUUAUCUUCUCUGCCUGGUGAGAGCUGGCACUACCGUUUGGUGUCGUGACCUUGCUGAUGCUUGUUCGCCUAGUGAAGAGUUUGGGGCAUAUUCAGUUUUACAGAGUUUGGGCCAUCACCCAUCAGGCUGGAGCUUUAUAGAGUUAAUGAACACGAAGUUGAGUUCAACAUGCAAUUUCUGCCGUGCUCUUCACUAACCACCACACAUGCACAUUGACAUGAUGUAAACAAAGAACCGAUUUUGUUGGAUUUGAUUGUGUAUUAUGUGCUGUAAAUAUCUGUUUUAUAUGAUUGUCCUGCCACCUGGGCUGCUGUAA